rnacentral:rRNA from 1 species
AUUGAACGCUGGCGGCAUGCUUUACACAUGCAAGUCGAACGGUAACAGGCCGCAAGGUGCUGACGAGUGGCGAACGGGUGAGUAAUGCAUCGGAACGUGCCCAGUCGUGGGGGAUAACUACUCGAAAGAGUAGCUAAUACCGCAUACGAUCUGUGGAUGAAAGCGGGGGACCGUAAGGCCUCGCGCGAUUGGAGCGGCCGAUGUCAGAUUAGGUAGUUGGUGGGGUAAAGGCUCACCAAGCCAACGAUCUGUAGCUGGUCUGAGAGGACGACCAGCCACACUGGGACUGAGACACGGCCCAGACUCCUACGGGAGGCAGCAGUGGGGAAUUUUGGACAAUGGGCGCAAGCCUGAUCCAGCAAUGCCGCGUGCAGGAAGAAGGCCUUCGGGUUGUAAACUGCUUUUGUACGGAACGAAACGGCUCUGGUUAAUACCCGGGGCUAAUGACGGUACCGUAAGAAUAAGCACCGGCUAACUACGUG